UUAAGUUCAGCGGGUAGUCCUACCUGAUUUGAGGCCAAAUGGUCAUAAAGUUGUCCGAAGACGAUUGUAUGCGGCACCUCGAUCCUAGCCAACAGCGCAACAUUUAUCACACUGAUGACCGAAACGGACCAAAGUCGAUUCCGCGAAUGCGUUUAAGAGGAGCCGACCCAUGAAAGGGGGCCAGCACGCUCCACAAUCCA
rnacentral:misc_RNA from 1 species